rnacentral:rRNA from 1 species
AUUGAACGCUGGCGGCAUGCUUUACACAUGCAAGUCGAACGGCAGCGCGGGGCAACCUGGCGGCGAGUGGCGAACGGGUGAGUAAUACAUCGGAACGUACCCAGAAGUGGGGGAUAACGUAGCGAAAGUUACGCUAAUACCGCAUACGUUCUACGGAAGAAAGUGGGGGAUCUUCGGACCUCAUGCUUUUGGAGCGGCCGAUGUCUGAUUAGCUAGUUGGUGAGGUAAAGGCUCACCAAGGCGACGAUCAGUAGCUGGUCUGAGAGGACGACCGGCCACACUGGGACUGAGACACGGCCCAGACUCCUACGGGAGGCAGCAGUGGGGAAUUUUGGACAAUGGGCGCAAGCCUGAUCCAGCAAUGCCGCGUGAGUGAAGAAGGCCUUCGGGUUGUAAAGCUCUUUUGUCAGGGAAGAAACGGCUGGGGCUAAUAUCCCCGGCUAAUGACGGUACCUGGAGAAUAAGCACCGGCUAACCACGUGCCAGCCGCCGCUGUAA